UAAGCAUUAGGAUUCUUUUAAGUCAAAGUAAUUAUAUUAAAUACAAUAGAUGUGCUAGUCAAAUGCUGGAAAAAUUCGUAGAACUUGUGCCUCAGUAUUACGAUGAUGAUUUCCUUUUCAUUGCUUAACACAUCUCGCAAGUGAUACCGUAAAUUUUGGAUGUCUUGAAUCUUUUAGUGCAUUUAAAUUUGAAAAUUACUUAUGGAAAUUGAAAAGAAAGAUAAAAAAGCAUAACCAUGUCGUCUCACAAGUAUACAAUCGUUUAGUUGAGGACAGUUUUAGGUCAAACAAUACUAUGAAUCCAUCGACUGAAAUUAAAAAAGGAAAAUUUAGAAAUGAUUCAUUAAUAUUUGUACAAUCUUCAAAGUUUUACUUUUCGCCGAAAGAACCUGAUAACUUUUACAGCGUUAAGUGCAAAAUAUUUAAAUUAGUAGCUAUAAAUAAAGCCACAAAGCUACUUGGAAAGGAAGUUCUGAAUUUACAGGAUUAUUUUGAAACACCUAUCUCAUCAGGAAUUCUCAAUAUCAAGUCAUGUGAAGUCCUAAAAAUUUCGUCUUCCGUCUAUCAUCACAACUUAGAUGAAAUAUCAGAAAAAAUUAUAAAAUUUAGUAACUAAGAGUCUAACAUCAACUUGUUCAUUCUUUUCCUUCAUUAUUUUUUUUUUUGAUAUUUAAAUAUUUGUAAGCAUUAAGAACAUAUAAACGUACAUAAAUUAUUCGGACAGAAAAUGGAUUUUAACCACAUCAUAGAAGAAGCAUAAGAAAAUACUCCUGUAACUAAAAAAGAUAUUGAUUUGCUUGAGAAAAGGAUAUUGGACCGUAUAAAACAGUCGGAAAAUAAAAUACUGAAAGAAAUAGACCACAAUCAAAAAUCCGUAAAGAGGGCCCUGACACGAAUUUUGCAAGAAACAAAGCAGACUACAAAGACAAGCCACAAAUCACGAAGUGAGCUGCUCCUGAAAGUUCCAUUUGAUAACUUGGAACAAUUUCAAAAUUUUGAAAAAGAUAUACAGGAGCAUUCCAGAAAAUUUAAUGAACUGAAGGAGGGAUUUUUCACAGUAUCUGUCCACACAGCUGAAAAGUUCGUAAAAAAUGCUUGGCGCCAAAUUUUUACCGAUGGUGUUGCGCAGAAUUUGUGUUGGAAGGGUACGAAGAUAAAAUGGCUGUGAGACCCUUAAGUGUAACAGCUGCCUUAAAAAGUACAUUUUCGUCUAAAUUCCCUCAUGCGACAGAUAUAGAUUUUGAGCGCACCUCUAGCAUGCUAAAGGACGCCACAUGAAGAAAAAGGCAUACGACUCCAAAAAAACAAAAACGUAAAAAUUAAA